rnacentral:rRNA from 1 species
GCACAACGCGAAGAACCUUACCUACUCUUGACAUCCACGGAAUUCGCCAGAGAUGGCUUAGUGCCUUCGGGAACCGUGAGACAGGUGCUGCAUGGCUGUCGUCAGCUCGUGUUGUGAAAUGUUGGGUUAAGUCCCGCAACGAGCGCAACCCUUAUCCUUUGUUGCCAGCACGUAAUGGUGGGAACUCAAAGGAGACUGCCGGUGAUAAACCGGAGGAAGGUGGGGAUGACGUCAAGUCAUCAUGGCCCUUACGAGUAGGGCUACACACGUGCUACAAUGGCAUAUACAAAGAGAAGCGAACUCGCGAGAGCAAGCGGACCUCAUAAAGUAUGUCGUAGUCCGGAUUGGAGUCUGCAACUCGACUCCAUGAAGUCGGAAUCGCUAGUAAUCGUAGAUCAGAAUGCUACGGUGAAUACGUUCCCGGGUCUUGUACACACCG